GUAUCUACCCCAAUUACUCUUGUUUCUUGUGUUUGAUUGUGAACUUUGUCAGCUUUCUUGUCCUUCUCAGGCUAUUAAUUCGUGUGCUUUUGUGUAUUCCCUCUCAUAGGUUGUUUUGCGUGUCUUGUAGCCGAAUGAUAAAUUGUCUCGCGUGAUUGUCAGCUCAUGCAAUGUCAAACCUUCAUGUAUACCUUCCUUUCCCCUUUUAUAUAUAUUAUCAUAACCUCAAAAUAUGCUAUUGUCUUACUUAAUCGUUUUCUUGUAUUCUUUCCUUUGCAUUCCUCUCUCAAUGGUUUCAGCUUCGAAUCUACCAGAUGGGUCGGGGAGAUCUUUUUCUGCUUCCUUCCUAUUCUGGUGCACUAUCUUCCAAUUUUCAUCAUUCUGGUGGUUGUGAUACUUAUCUUGACCUUUUUCUAUAUUCUCGUCUGUUCUGAAACUUACAUAGGACCACGGUUUUUCUUCAUGCAGGAAUUCUUCAGGGACUUCAUAAUCUUCAUGGUGGCUAUAAUGUCGGGAACAUAUGCACAAGUACACUUUCAUCAAGAAACUCAAGUAUGAAUAGCAUACCUACCAUCUCCUGGUGCACAACAACUUAAUGGGAGUUUUUCCAGUGGAAGAUUUGGUUCAAGUAACAUACUUGUUGCUCUCUCUCUCUCAGCUGCAAAUGGUUUCAAAAAUUCUAUGAAAACAUCUUUUUUCUUAAUAUAUAUCUCAUAUUUUUCAAUUAUUGUUUCUGUAGUUAUCUCAUAAUAGCUCGCAUGGGCAUUCCGGUAUCCCAAACAGAGGAGGAAUCUAUGGUGUUGGCAACCUUGGACUAAAUUUGGGAGCUAAUAGCGGGUCAGGGUUAAGUGUUCAGGGACAGAACCGGAUGCUGGGUGGUCAUCCUCAAGGUGUGUAUGAUUUAUCCUGUUCUUUCCAUUUUCUAUUAUGGAACUAUGAAAAAACUUUUAUGAUUAUGGGUCUCUCGUAGAGUAAGUAGGAACUGCUCUUCAAAUUAAGUAGAAAGGUGAUUUGCGUAAUAGUGGUUGUUUGAGGAAGGAAUUAUAUUUCCAGUUGGACUUCUUUUUGCGGUUGUGAUCUAUUCUUCUCCAGACUCAUAUGAGUAAAAGUAGAGAAAGCAAACUUAGCUUUCAAUCUUUCAAAAAAAAAAAAAAAAAAAACUUUCCUCUCAUAAUCUUUUGGUGGGUUUUCUAGGUUCUUUACCAGGAGUUCCGCAUCCAAAAUGAAGACUUUCCUGCCUUACCUGGAUAUAAAGGUGCUACUCUUUUAUUGUCAACGCAUGUGUUUCUAAAUGCUAGAAGCUAAACCUGCUAGAUCAUUCACAAGCGUAGUAGAUUUUUUUGCAGGUGGUAGUUCUGAUUAUCCGUUGGAAAUACAUCAGAAAGAACAACUCCAUGACAAUGCUAUGUCAAUGAUGCACUCUCAAAACUUUCCUAUGGCUAGAUCUGGUGGUUUCAACUUGGGACGAUAGGAACAUAUUCAUCAGAUCAUCCACAACAACAACAGCCACAAUAUACUUCAUCUGCAUGUGACAAGCCAAGACUUUCUUUCCAUUUGCAUAUGUCAUAUAAUUGUUAUAGUAGCUUUUGCUACUGAGAACCUAAUCAAUCACAAAUACAAUUAUCUU